AAAUGGAUGUCAAAAUAAGUUUGUAAUAAGUAACAGCCUAAUUUUGUUGACUUUAAUGUUGAUUGUUAAGCUAAUCUGUGGAUAUCACCAAACACAACUACAUUUGGGACAAAACUACGUUGCAACGUGGGUUUGAUACCCCUUUCUUUUGUCUUUUUCAAGGUUAAUUACAAUGAAGUCCUGUUAUUAGUUAUAAAAACAAAAACACUAAAAACUUUUAAAUUUUCACACAUUAAUCCUGCACCUAAAUAUUUUUAAUUGCAUUAAUGCUUCUAAAAAUCAUGAUUUGUUUAGAAUUCAAGCACUUAUUCUCUUUAUACAUACAAACACUAGUAAAUUAAAAGAAAAUUUUUUUGAAUUAUUUAAGUUAUUUUAAAUAAAAGAAAACUAAGGAAAUAUUUAAAUUAUUUUAAAUAGAGUAAUUGUUUAGAAUUUUUUUACCCUUCUCUUAGUUAAGUUAAUGAAAGAUCUCAACCAUAUAGACGUGUACUAAUAACUAUUUAAACUGUUGGGGUGGAGUAAUAAAUAUUAAUUUAUUUAAGUGUGUAAUUAAAUAUAUUCUUUUAUUUAAGGACAAAAACUCAACCAAAAAUACAAACUCAUUGUUCAAACAAACAAAAAUUAUUUUACAAAUUUAUAAACUAACACUUUAUUAUUAUUAGUAAAUUAACAUAUUUUUACUACAUAAUUAAAUAAUUGAUAAUAUGUUAAAUAAAUCUUAUGUUUCCAAAAAAAAAUUAACUACAUAGAAUAUCAAAUUAAAUUUAUUUUCAUAUUUUAUACAUUACAUUUACUUGAGAUAGUAAAAUCUCUUGUGUUGGAAUAAAAAAGAUUAUGGGGUUUGAACCUUGGUCACAUGAGUGAGAGGAAACUGGUUGCCGUUAUGUUAAAUUAAAAAAAAUUAUAUUUAUCAUUAAUUAUGGUUCGUAAAUAAUAUACAUAGUUUAACUAUAUGAUAAACUAGUUAAUUUUUUUUAAUAAGUAAAUUUAUUAAUUUAAAUUGAUAUUAAUACAUGUAAGAAUAAGUCAUUUAAUUGGAAAUCUAGUUUAAUAGUGUAAAAAUAUAUAUAUAUAUUAUGGACUUUUAUGUCAUAAUUAUAAAACUUUUUGAUUUUUCUUAUUUUACAUGAACAAGAGGGGCCUUUAAUGUUAAUAGCCUAAAAUCACAUCUAAGCCAUUAUGCAAGUCUUGCGUUGUAUCCAACGGUGAAUUUGAAAAAGACAAAAAAAUGGAGCACCAAACCCCAGAGGCAACGUAGCUGGACCCCUACAUUUGACAUUUUUUUUUUCAAUUGCUUGGAAGAGUAAGAUGGUGAACUAACAAAAGUAGCAAGAUCAAAUUCCAAACAAUAUUUUGAAUCAAAUUCCAAACAAUAUUUUGAAAUUUUUUUAUAUUUUUUUUUUUUUUUAUUUCCCCACAAUACACGAUGAACAAAUCAUCAGCCGGAUUGACCCGGAAGCGAAGGCCGGUUUCUGGCUAUAAAAACCCAAGUCUUGUACUUCGGUUAAUUCCAUAACUCAAACAUUAAAAAUUUAUCAAACACCUCUAAUUAACAACAACAUCAUAAAAUGGCCUCUAGCAAUUGUUUCGUCUUAGCUUUGUUUGUGGCUUUGGCAUUUGCUUCAGUCGAUGAAGGGCUGGCAGCUCGUCAUCUAAUGCAAUUGCCAACGUUGCCACCUUUGCCUUCAAUUCCAGGGAUACCACAGCAGCCAACGUUGCCGCCGAUCCCAAGCGUCCCUCCAAUUCCAAGAAUCCCUAAAAUUCCAACUCCUCCUCCACUUCCAAGCAUCCCUUCAUUCCCUAAUAUACCAACUACGAUUCCUUCUAUCCCUUUCUUCUCUCCGCCUCCUUCUACGAAAAGCCCUUGAAUUCAUCUCCAUGCUGCUAGCUUGUUUGUGCCCCCGUUUUGCAGCAUGCAUGUCAAGAAGGGCCUUGAAUUUAUUUGUUACUGGGGAAUAUUACAAUUGACCCGAGGAUUUAGGUUGUUUGCGUUCUCUACUUCUAUGGAUAAAUUUUAUCAUUGUUCGAGGAUUGUUCUUUUAUAAUUAUUACUAAGAUUAUCAUUUUUGGCUGGUUUUGCCACGCUGUUUGCUUAUACGGAUGUGAAAUAUCUUAUAUUUAGAACUUAUUGUACAUAUUGUUGCUAAUUAAAUAAGAAGAUGCUUUUAUUUGCAUGUUCUUUUUCAGAUUCCAUUCAGUGGUCAGUAGUUACUGUAUAAGAAAAAAAUAUAUACCUAAUUAAAUUUUAACCAUACAUUACUAUAAAUGUACAAAUGGUAGAAGGGACAAAGAUUUAGUGGUUUGGUAACAAAUUAUAUUUAUAUUGAGCACCAAAUCAAUAGGCGUUAGUAAAAAAAAAUGAAAAAUGAAAAAAAUAAAAAAAUAAAUCUCAAUCAUUGACUCAUUAUUUAACAAAUCUUUAUCAUAAC
rnacentral:lncRNA from 1 species